UGGGGAAUAUUGCACAAUGGGCGAAAGCCUGAUGCAGCAACGCCGCGUGAGUGAUGAAGGUCUUCGGAUUGUAAAGCUCUGUCUUUUGGGACGAUAAUGACGGUACCAAAGGAGGAAGCCACGGCUAACUACGUGCCAGCAGCCGCGGUAAUACGUAGGUGGCGAGCGUUGUCCGGAUUUACUGGGCGUAAAGGGUGCGUAGGCGGAUGUUUAAGUGAGAUGUGAAAUACCCGGGCUUAACUUGGGUGCUGCAUUUCAAACUGGAUAUCUAGAGUGCAGGAGAGGAGAAUGGAAUUCCUAGUGUAGCGGUGAAAUGCGUAGAGAUUAGGAAGAACACCAGUGGCGAAGGCGAUUCUCUGGACUGUAACUGACGCUGAGGCACGAAAGCGUGGGUAGCAAACAGGAUUAGAUACCCUGGUAGUCCACGCCGUAAACGAUGAGUACUAGGUGUAGGGGGUAUCGACCCCUUCUGUGCCGUAGUAAACACAUUAAGUACUCCGCCUGGGAAGUACGAUCGCAAGAUUAAAAC
rnacentral:rRNA from 1 species